AGUGUGGCAAGAGUGAUGAAUCAAUUAGAUGUGUGAAAAGGGAAAUUUCCUCAAUAUGAACGAAUUUUUUGAGGCAUUUACUAAUAUUCUGACUUGCCCACU